rnacentral:rRNA from 1 species
GACGAACGCUGGCGGCGUGCUUAACACAUGCAAGUCGAACGGAAAGGCCCUGCUUUUGUGGGGUGCUCGAGUGGCGAACGGGUGAGUAACACGUGAGUAACCUGCCCUUGACUUUGGGAUAACUUCAGGAAACUGGGGCUAAUACCGGAUAGGAGCUCCUGCUGCAUGGUGGGGGUUGGAAAGUUUCGGCGGUUGGGGAUGGACUCGCGGCUUAUCAGCUUGUUGGUGGGGUAGUGGCUUACCAAGGCUUUGACGGGUAGCCGGCCUGAGAGGGUGACCGGCCACAUUGGGACUGAGAUGCGGCCCAGACUCCUACGGGAGGCAGCAGUGAGGAAUAUUGCACAAUGGGCGGAAGCCUGAUGCAGCAACGCCGCGUGCGGGAUGACGGCCUUCGGGUUGUAAACCGCUUUCGCCUGUGACGAAGCGUGAGUGACGGUAAUGGGUAAAGAAGCACCGGCUAACUACGUG